ensembl:lncRNA
CGCCACACCUGAACACAAGGAGCAGGUCAAGUGAAUUCAAGGAAAGGAUGAAUCUGGUUCAUUCUCUCUGCAAGAUUUUAUUGGAUUCAGUGGACUAUAAGAUCCUUCAUUUAUCCAGUUUUCUCCCCCCAGUAAUUAUCUAUCAAUUUAUCUCUCUAUCUGAAUAUAUGUGUGUGUGUGUGUCAUAAAGAAUAUGACAUUACUCAGUAAGUUUGUAAAAGCCAGGACAGACUUAUUCUUUGCAUCCUCAUGGCACCAAUACCGACACAACAUGUGGCAUUGGGUUUCUGCCCUGGGGGCACCCAACUCCGUCUGCAGAUGACAACACUGGUGCCCAGACAAGAAUGUACUGUUUGCCCAAAGUCAUACACAUCAGUGACCAAACCCACACAGCUCCUCUGUCUCCUGAUUCAGCUCUGGUGCUCUUUGCCCUCUGCUGGCCUUCCUCUCUCUCCUGCCUUUGUAGACACGGGAAGGAACACAAGCAGGAGAAUCUGAGAAAGCGAGAGAGGAGCAUGAGAGAAUGGGAGGGAUAGGAACUGACUCCUGUAGAGCAGUAACAAUACUGGGGAACAAACUCUGGGUGACUGUGAGGUUUAAGAAGCGCUCUGCUCUCCAAUAACAUGUGGAAGUAAGCGGGAGGGAGUGAGGAGCGGGUGAGUGAGGAGAAAGAGGGAAAGGCCAGGCUGGGUUUCUGAGGCUCCAGUCAGCAGAGGCCACGGGGGAUGAGAAGAACAAAGGCGUUCAGGCUGCAGCUCUCUCUGGUCCCUGGAGAAGCAAUGGCAGCACCACGCAGCCUCUCCAGGCUCUCUUCCCACGGCAGCCUCAGGGCUGGGCCGGGGCUGAGCCCCAGGAGCGCUGUCAGAAUCCAGAGGAUUUCCCUCUCAGGUCUGCAGCAUGUGAGGACUGUCACGUGGAGGAGUGCUGUUUUCUCCAAGCCAGCUGACCUGCCACAGACAGCGUGGAUGGGGCCUGUGCAGUCAUGGUUUUUCAAGAGGAUUCUCAGUCCUGCCUGUGCCAAGCUGUUCUAUUCAGAUGUCUCAGCCCACAUUACUUCAAGCCAUGAAGUAUCCAGUUACUUAGCUGGUGAGUGGCUCAGCAUGAACUGUGUUACCCAAUUCUGGUCCAUCGGACAUAAGAGCGUGGCAGAGGUGGGAAGGGAGGGCACGUCUGGAGAAGACUUCCUCACGCCUAAGAAGAGAGAUAAGACAAGUCACCACUCCCUCCCCUUUAUUUCCUCUGGACAUUAAAACUGUGUGCAUGUGACUUUGGGGACCACCACAGAUACAUAUUCUCCUUGAGCUGAGCCAGAUCAAAGUAAAGUGGAAAAGUGCGAAGCCCCCAGUCCUAAUGAAGCCGCUGGACCACUGUGUUAACAACCCCAGCACU